AGAGUUUGAUCAUGGCUCAGAUUGAACGCUGGCGGCAGGCCUAACACAUGCAAGUCGAACGGUAACAGGAAGCAGCUUGCUGCUUCGCUGACGAGUGGCGGACGGGUGAGUAAUGUCUGGGAAGCUGCCUGAUGGAGGGGGAUAACUACUGGAAACGGUAGCUAAUACCGCAUAAUGUCGCAAGACCAAAGAGGGGGACCUUCGGGCCUCUUGCCAUCGGAUGUGCCCAGAUGGGAUUAGCUUGUUGGUGGGGUAACGGCUCACCAAGGCGACGAUCCCUAGCUGGUCUGAGAGGAUGACCAGCCACACUGGAACUGAGACACGGUCCAGACUCCUACGGGAGGCAGCAGUGGGAAUAUUGCACAAUGGGCGCAAGCCUGAUGCAGCCAUGCCGCGUGUAUGAAGAAGGCCUUCGGGUUGUAAAGUACUUUCAGCGGGGAGGAAGGGAGUAAAGUUAAUACCUUUGCUCAUUGACGUUACCCGCAGAAGAAGCACCGGCUAACUCCGUGCCAGCAGCCGCGGUAAUACGGAGGGUGCAAGCGUUAAUCGGAAUUACUGGGCGUAAAGCGCACGCAGGCGGUUUGUUAAGUCAGAUGUGAAAUCCCCGGGCUCAACCUGGGAACUGCAUCUGAUACUGGCAAGCUUGAGUCUCGUAGAGGGGGGUAGAAUUCCAGGUGUAGCGGUGAAAUGCGUAGAGAUCUGGAGGAAUACCGGUGGCGAAGGCGGCCCCCUGGACGAAGACUGACGCUCAGGUGCGAAAGCGUGGGGAGCAAACAGGAUUAGAUACCCUGGUAGUCCACGCCGUAAACGAUGUCGACUUGGAGGUUGUGCCCUUGAGGCGUGGCUUCCGGAGCUAACGCGUUAAGUCGACCGCCUGGGGAGUACGGCCGCAAGGUUAAAACUCAAAUGAAUUGACGGGGGCCCGCACAAGCGGUGGAGCAUGUGGUUUAAUUCGAUGCAACGCGAAGAACCUUACCUGGUCUUGACAUCCACGGAAGUUUUCAGAGAUGAGAAUGUGCCUUCGGGAACCGUGAGACAGGUGCUGCAUGGCUGUCGUCAGCUCGUGUUGUGAAAUGUUGGGUUAAGUCCCGCAACGAGCGCAACCCUUAUCCUUUGUUGCCAGCGGUCCGGCCGGGAACUCAAAGGAGACUGCCAGUGAUAAACUGGAGGAAGGUGGGGAUGACGUCAAGUCAUCAUGGCCCUUACGACCAGGGCUACACACGUGCUACAAUGGCGCAUACAAAGAGAAGCGACCUCGCGAGAGCAAGCGGACCUCAUAAAGUGCGUCGUAGUCCGGAUUGGAGUCUGCAACUCGACUCCAUGAAGUCGGAAUCGCUAGUAAUCGUGGAUCAGAAUGCCACGGUGAAUACGUUCCCGGGCCUUGUACACACCGCCCGUCACACCAUGGGAGUGGGUUGCAAAAGAAGUAGGUAGCUUAACCUUCGGGAGGGCGCUUACCACUUUGUGAUUCAUGACUGGGGUGAAGUCGUAACAAGGUA
rnacentral:rRNA from 1 species